GUAAUAAAAGUUAAUAUGAACAACUGCUUUAUUAUUCUAUAGUUCGGACAUACUAGAAAGUCGCUACAAGACCAAUCGUCAUAUUACUAGAACGAUUGUUUAUUUCGCUGCGCAAAAAUACGUUCCAUAUCUUGCUAGAAGACCGUAAUGGGAGUGAUUUGCCACUGUGGUUAUGAUCUUCAGCUUUCUUCUUUGAAUUGUAGGACAAAAUGCAGAUCGGUCAGUCGAGUUCACGGAAAGGUGUGUUUAUCGGGAAGACCUCGAUGGGAGUGAUGUCAGUAUGCCGAAAGUUGCGCAGCUGUGAUUAGUGAGGAGUAGGCCUACCGGAAGAACAUAAGAGAAAACACCGUAGUAGUAGCAGUGAGGCGGAUGAAACUGGAUUGCCUGCAAGCAUCUCUGAUGGAGGUCCACACGACAACUCCAUUCCCGGAACCUUCCGACUGCCGGAGAUACGAAGAGACACACAACAAUGCAACGGCUUCAGAACCCGAGCACAGUGGUGGAUGCCACGUGCCUGGUGAAGACAUUGCAGGGUGUCAGAGCAGUGCGUCGCCUGAAGCUCUGCUAUCUGUCACUUCUGCUUCACAAAAUACCAACAAUGUGCAUUCGCUGUCAGAUGUGACUGCUACUAAUUCGAAUUUGCAGCAGUUGGAAAUUGCAGUUUCUAAUGCAGCUGACAUCACAGCACGCAGUACAGACUCCUGGCGUGUGACCAUUGAUGACAUGCCUGAUGAGAUUUUGAUAAAGAUCUUGUCUCACAUGUCUUUCAGUGAGCUCAUAGAUGUUAUACAAAAAGUGUGUCCUCAUUGGAGAAGACUGUCCCAAGAUCCAGAGUUGUGGGAUUACAAGGAAUACCAAAUCCGGUACUGACCUUCCAGUGACACACACACUUGUAAAGGUGGCAGAACUGACCUGGAGGCGAUACAGACUUUCCGUGAUGCCCCAAACCGGCGCAAAGUAUGCACGUAUCGGGGAGCCACACCCCGUGUCUUCUGCACCCUAUACUACAACUGCCAGGGACUGUCCGAGCUGCGUCUGCAUGUUGCACAGAAGCUCACCUACUCGGUACUGAAGAACUUGGUUGAGAAGUGCUCCAGACUAUGCACACUGUGGAUACCCAGUGAAUUGCUGAAGUCGGAGAAAUUUUCAGAAGCAGUGUCUCGUCUACAGCACCUGCGUGUGCUGGCUCUAGAGACACUCUCCCCGGAACACACACCCGUGCUGCAACCUUUGGGUGACGGAUGCCCAUGACUAACCGAGGUAGACUUCAGAUGCACGAUUGUCGGUAUGGAUGAUCUGAGAUACUUCCUGAAUGCCAAGAGGAACACCCUUAAGUCCAUACGCAUAAAGUGGGCAAUGGAUGGAAAAUGGUGUGUCCUGCCAUUGCUGACAGCUUGGAACGUCUGCAGCUUUACAAUUUUGACAUAGUCCGUGACAAAUUGACAGAGGCAUUCAUUGCCCUGGGAAGCCUCAAGAAGUUAGAGGAACUUGAUAUGUCAAUCCUUGAUCCAGUACCACCUAGCACAGCUGCUCUGGCAUUUAAAUUUGGUGGACUGCCGAAUCUGAGACUGCUGGAUCUACGACAAGGGUACAGCCUGGACGAUGAUAUGAUAAUCGCCGUGAGCACUGGGUGCCCCGCUUUGCAGCAACUCAUUCUCAGAGAAGCUGAGCAACUGUCCGAUGCGGCUUUCUCUCAGAUCUACCGCCUGGAACAUCUAGAAAUGUUCAGCUUAAAAUCCAACAACAUGUAAUAUGCAAAAAAGCUUUCUGCAGCCUUUAUGGGAUAAAGAAGGCACGGGUUGAAUGUCUGGCUUCAUUUGCAUCCAGAAAUAUUGGUCCACCCGCAGAUCGUGGAGGAAAACAUGAAAACAGGCCUAACAGAACUGGACAUGCCAUGUUGCGCAGGGCUCAGUGGAGCCCUGAUGUCCUACCUUGCCAGGCUUCCACGACUUCACAAAUUGGUCAUGGAGGAAAUAGAGUUUCCCAAUUUGCAGCCAGGCCUGAGCAGUAUCCUCCAGUUGUCGGGUAUCCAAUGCCUGAUACUCAACUUUUCCAACAUUACAGGAGUGCCCUUUGAUAAGUUUCCAGGAAGGCUUGUCAGUCUCAGGGAGCUGAGAGUCCAGUGGUGUAGAGGUGACCCUAAUGUCACAAAUCUGCUGACUGAGCAGAUGCCUAGCCUUGAAAUCCACAGCAGCUUUGAAGAGGAGACACCAGCUUACAACACAGAGGGUGAGGAGAGUGACGCACAAGUCGCAGAGGAAGAAGAUGAAGAGAAUGCAGGGCCUGGCGAUGCAGAUGAAUCGCAGGAUGGCAGUUGGGAGAAUGACAAAGAUAGUAACGAUGAUAGCAGCAGUAGCAGUGAUAGUGAAAGUAAUAACAUUAUUUGGGAUGAAAGUAGUAUAUCUGUUCUCUUUUUAGAGGAUAUAUAAAAGUGGUGUGAUUUUUACACAGAAAUACAAAUCUCAGUACUGAUUGUAUUUCAUCUGGAGCAGUAUAACUGGAUCAAAUUAACUGCCAUUAUUGGAUUUAGCAUAGCAUCAUAAUGGACAGCUAAAUGCUGUCAGACUAAAACUAGUGGUCUUUGUAACAUUAUCAUUAAAUUGAAUUUCCUGUAAUGUCAUGUUAACAAUGGCGAAAAGUGUUUUAAAGUAAGAUAAUUAUAAAUUAUUCUAGAGAUGCAUAGCUGCCAACCUUGGGAAAAGACUGUCUGUUAUCACAUUGGGAAAAAUGAUGGAGUGGGGUACGGGGGUGGGGCAGAAAAUUUUAAACAUUGGAAGCACGAUUUAGGCCUUUAACUCUUUCACUGCUGCAUGCGCCAUAACAGUGCACGCAUCAGUGUGCAUUGCACUCGGGACGCUCAAUGCAGUGGUGCUUGCCGUGCUGGGAAUGAUGUGGCAUUGAGCACUGCAACACUUACUUGCUACACCAAGUUGUUGUCUUCUGUAUUUAUUCUCUCCAAUGUCUAAAUUGUUGCUUGAAUAUUAUGUAUUUUUGAAGUUCCUAGAAUUACAUUACAUUAGAGAAAAGUACAUUUCAGAAAGUUUUUUCGUAUGAUGUAUAGGGUGGGUGGGAAGUAACUAGGUACCAUUAAAUGGCUGUUAAGUUUGAAAUUUUAUGAAAUAAUAUUGGAAAUAACAUUAAAUAGGAUAGUGAUUUUUUAAUGCUGUGUAGUACCAACAGUGGCUGUGAGGGGCAAUAUACUUCACAACAACAAAGAUGGCCGAUUGCCCUACAGUUAGAGAAUGAACACAGAGCACUUUAUACUGUGAGGUGUGGAAUUUGACCAUUCUUGUGCAGAGAUGGUGGUGUAUGGUGAGGGGAAGGAAUGCCACAGUUUGCCUGGAGACAGUAAAGAAAUUGUCACGCAAAGCUAAUGACCACAGGUUCGGUGAGGGAUGCAACAAAAUCAGAUCGUCCAUCUACAUCUCAGUGUCCUGAGAAUGUGGCGAUUGUGCAGAAUGUGUUCAAUCGUAGCCUGGGGAAAUCGACAUGCCAGGUAGCUCGUGAGAGCAGACUUGCAAGGCAUGCGGUGUGUUAGGUGUGGCAUAAAGAAUUAAACUUUCAACCGUGGAAACUCCAUUAUGUGCAGCAGCUGACACCAGAAUGGAAUAGGGGGAGGUAGUGGCAGAAAAUUGCACUCAAUUUUCCUCAAUAUCACACUUCUUAAAGUGAUUGCUUGUAACUUUUGUUUAUUUUGAUUGGCAUUUUUCUCAGUGAAUGUGGAACUGUUGCUUCCCUGGUAGUGUGGCACCAUCUUAAUUGCUGCAGGUCUGUCAGUUAAAAGAAAAGGGAAAAAAGGCACAAUAUUGAGCCUCAUGUGUUUUGAGGGUGUAUACCGUAUUUACUCGAAUCUAAGCUGCACUGGAAUCUAAGCUGCACCUGAAAAAUGAGACUCGAAAUCAAGGAAAAAAAAUUUUCCAGAAUCUAAGCCGCACCUGAAAUUUGAGACUCGAAAUUCAAGGGAGAGAAAAGCUUUAGGCCGCACCUCCAAAUCGAAACAAAGUUGGUCCAUUGUAAUAUGAGACACAAUUUAGGUCGAAUGAAUGAUGAUACAGCUACAGUAGUUUGCUUCGAGUCGUGAGCUUAGCAGUUAAGCUUUACCAGGUAGCCAUUGCUAUGCGUCAGGCGCUCUGUCCG